rnacentral:rRNA from 1 species
UACGUAGGUGACCAGCGUUGUCCGGAUUUACUGGGCGUAAAGAGCGCGCAGGCGGUCGUUCAAGUCGCGUGUGAAAGCCCCCGGCUCAACUGGGGAGGGUCACGCGAUACUGAUCGACUCGAAGGCAGGAGAGGGAAGUGGAAUUCCUGGUGUAGUGGUGAAAUGCGUAGAUAUCGGGAGGAACACCAGUGGCGAAGGCGACUUCCUGGCCUGUUCUUGACGCUGAGGCGCGAAAGCUAGGGGAGCAAACGGGG